rnacentral:rRNA from 1 species
GGCUCAGGAUGAACGCUAGCGGCAGGCUUAACACAUGCAAGUCGAGGGUAACGGGGCGUAGCAAUACGCUGCCGACGACCGGCGCACGGGUGCGUAACGCGUAUGCAACCUACCUGGUAACAGGGGAAUAACGAGGGAAACUUCCACUAAUGCCCCAUAUGUUAUCUUUCGCAUGUUAGGAUAACGAAAGCUUCGGUGGUUACGGAUGGGCAUGCGUGACAUUAGGUAGUUGGUGAGGCAACGGCUCACCAAGCCGACGAUGUCUAGGGGAGCUGAGAGGCUUAUCCCCCACACUGGUACUGAGACACGGACCAGACUCCUACGGGAGGCAGCAGUGAGGAAUAUUGGUCAAUGGAGGGAACUCUGAACCAGCCAUGCCGCGUGGAGGAAGAAGGUCCUAUGGGUUGUAAACUCCUUUUGUCCGAGAGUAAUAAGGUGGAUGCGUCCACCGAUGAGAGUAUCGGGCGAAUAAGCAUCGGCUAACUCCGUGCC